GGGCUCGGUUUGCUUGUGUUACUGUUGCUCAGAGGAGGAAGAGAGAGUUAGUCAAGCCUUCUGGAAAGGGGACGUGUAUGUGAAUGUGUUUAUGCGGAGGGGUGUGGAGACAGACAAGGACACAGCAACCUGCAAACAGCAGCGCCCCCAUUUACUCACAUGUGGGGCCAUGAAGUGAAUUGGAGCACACAUGGCCAAGAUUCCAACCCCAAUGAGGACUCUACCCACCACUGGCUCUUCCCAGCUCCCGGCAGAGUAAGGACGGAGACCUCAGGGUGUGCUGUCCUGAGAGCUGGACCCCAAACAGGCCAACAGAUAUGGCUGAGGGAAAGAAACUACCAAAGCUUCCUUCAGUGUGAUGGAGGUGGAGUUCAAACCGGGUCGCUCACAUGGAAAAGCAGUGCACUACCCCAGUGAGCUAUUUUGUAGGCCCAACGACAGCAAAUUCUAAAUGCUAAUGUCCAAGCCGACCGUGAGCUUACACAAGCCCUCGUAUCCAGUGAGGACUCAUGUCCUGUGUAUUAAAGGCCCUCAGCUCUGGCCCCUCUACUGUCCACAUCAGCACUUCAUUGUGGCCUGUAUGGAUCCAGUGGCCCACACCCUUGAUCUUCAUAAUUCAUUUCAACAACUCAACUGGACAUUGCAGCCCAUCCUGUGUUAUGAACACAGGACAGACCCCAAGAGCUGCUGGCAAGACCAGGGACUCUGUCCCCGCUGGAGAUUACAGACAUUUCCAUGUCAUGCUGUCUCACAACAUUAUUUACACCUGUCACCACUGUAAGAUGAUGGUGGUUAUUAGGCCUGCCACUAAGCCCAGUCACUUAAUGUGUGAAUAAAGAUACAAACGCCUCACUGCUCCGCGCACGUGUCGGCUUUAUGGAAGGCUGUGACUCCAAUACAACUGCUUUUCCUGUAUUUGCAUUUUUUUUAAUUUAAAAUUAUAGAUCAGAAAAGGGACCAUGGGCUUCACUGGAUAUCAGAGAGACCAAUGACACAGAACAGAAUGUUCCCUGCUCCACAUGGGAGACCCCUGGGCCCACCCAUUCCACCUGCCUAAGGAGCGACAGGGUGGAGCAGGAAUUGUUAAAUAUGGUUGUGGUCUCUAUCUGUCCAUUAACUCUUCCACCUUCUUUCCUUUCUCCUGCCUUGCACCCUCCCUGCCUUCCUUCCAUUCCUCCUUCCCCCCGGUGAUGCAUCAUUCCAUCUGUCCAUCUGCCCCCUUCCAUCAUCUCUCCAGCCCAAGCUACAGCCCUAACUCUAGGUUCCCUAAACCCCCCACCCGAGUCAGUUCUGCAGUGCAGAUGAAGACUAGCACAGGAGGCGGAAGCACAACUCACUAUGAAAAGAGGUGGCACUGUGCUCUUGUGUGGCUGACCUUAUGCCAUGGGGCUGACCUACCUCGCAGGAGACUGGCACAGGCUCUGUCUUGGCUCUUACAUGAAGUCUGCUCUGCCUUUCUGUUUUCAGAGUCUCAGUGGCUGAGCUUUAAGGGAGAGUCACGCUCUUACCAAACUCCUUGACUGCCAGGCUCAGGGGC